UAACGAGUACAAAGUUACUAUCUAUAUAUGGCAAUAAAAAGAUUUUGGAAAGAUGAAACUGCAGCAGUUUAAAAGUGAAUCAAUCAAAAUAAAACAUAAUCUCCAAUGGACAAAGGACAUCUGAUCUUACUUUCUUCGUUCGUUUUGAACCAAACCACUGCGUACAAGGUUCGGAGUGAAUGCUUGCUGCCUCAUUACCACCAAACAAACUUAGUAAAAGAUCAUUACAAAUAUAUUCGCAAAAGUUAGAUGGAUUUUCUAACCAUUUAUUUUACUUCAAGUCCUUUUGUCGCUGAACUCAUGAUUUCCUGUUGAUAGAGAAUCGAGCAAAUAAUAAAUGUAAUUUCAUCUAGCAAUUAUAAUCGUCAAAAGGAAAGAUCAACACACUGAUGAAAAUGUUAUAAAAACAAAUGGUUAUUGAAAUUUCAACUCUCACCGGAACUAAUAAAUUUUUGAUGUGAAUGUAUUUAUCUCAUCACUGCUUAUGGAAAUGUUGAUGGGGUACCUAUGGGUUUUACAUUUGCUGAUCAACGAAUUCGUUAAACGCUGCCGUGAUGGGAAAAGCUAAGGCUCAACAACGACUAAUUGACAAUCUUGAAGAUGAAUUUGCAAAGAGGGAGUUGCAUCUACCAGCAGGUGAUUUCCCAGAUGUGGUGUGCUUUAGAGAGGUGUUGGAAGGUUACGACGUUGACAAACUUGAGAGGUAGAAGCAAAAAUUGAUUCAAGCGGUCGAUGAUAUGCUUGAGCAUGAAAUCCAGGAGAGCUGUUGAAGAAAUUCAAAACUCCUUAUGAAUGAUUAAAAAUGUUGGCUUUGUAUAUCAGACAUGUAUGGAUAGAGUUGUAUCUUUGAUCUUCCAUUUUACUGUUAGUUGAAUACCUUUUGAGGGUUGCAUUCUCAAAACUGAAGUGCGAAUUAAUAGAAAAAAUACCUAUAUGUAAAUCUCACAAGUGGACAAGAUCUUUUGGU